UUUCCAUUUAUAGCCAAACUCACACCACCACCCAAUUUCUCAGCUCUCUCUCCCUCCCUCCUCACUCAACCAUGCACAAAACAAAGGCACAAAGCAGAGAUAGAGAGAGAUAGAGAUAGAGAAAGAGGUCAUGAUCUCGGUUCGGUUUUCCCCACCAAGGUCAUGAUCUUCUAUCUCAUCACCCCUUGAUUUUUCACAAGCAUAGGAGUAUAUACGGAUAAGGUUAAUUUUUUUUCUAUUCCAUUUUCUGGGUUAUUGGGAAAAUUAUGGCCUGGCGAUCAUUCAAGCGGAUUGUGGAGCAGGAGCUUGGAUACUUGCCCCAGUUUGUGAUCUAUGCAAUCCUGGAAUGGGUGGUGAUAAUUUUGCUUUUUCUUGAUGGGUUUAUUGGAUUUGUUGCCAAUGAGUUUGCAAAGUUUUUUGAAUUGAAGACACCAUGUUUGCUUUGCACUAGGAUUGAUCAUGUUCUCGUUCAUAGGAAUCCCAGCUUUUACUACAACGAUUCCAUAUGUGAAGAUCACAAGAAGGAUGUUUCCUCUCUUGCCUACUGUCACGCUCACAGGAAGUUAUCUGAUAUCCGGAGGAUGUGUGAGGGAUGCCUCAUUUCUUUUGCCACUGAGAGAGGAGAUGAUUGUGAGACACACAGAUCUUUGGUUGGGAAUUUGCAUAACAAUGUUGAGCCCUUUGUUGAUAAUGACCACAAAAUGCAAGUGAAAUUGCCUGUGGGACAAGUUGACAAGAGUGGUGUUCACCAGUGUUCUUGCUGUGGGGGGCCUUUGAAGAUGAGAGCCUCCAUGGCCAAGGGUCAUGUUCCCCGCUCUGCAAGCCAUGGGAACCUUCUUUCACAAGCUCCUACACCUUCUCCUCGAGCUCCAUUUUUUGCAACGAGAAAUGAGGAUUUUCGUCACUUGGAAUUACCCCAAAUUCGGCACAUGGAUCUCAAAUUCUCGUCGGAUAAUGAAUCAGAGCUUCUAGAGGAUGAGUAUAGCUCAUAUGCAUCAAUUCAAGGUAGGGAAGAUGUUAAAGCUUGUACUGUGCCCUUGCUAACAGAAUCUGAGGAUUCAAAUGAAGAAAGAACCCCUAUGGGGUUUUCUAGAGGAAAUAGGUUUUUUGGAAUCUCUCUGACAGAUUCAGCCACAUCCAGUCCUAGGUGGGCUACCAGGUUGCCAAGGAAACCGGUGCUUGAGAAGGCGGAGUUUGUCUUGGAGCCUCUUGAGGGAAAUGCUGCAAAUGAAGCAGAUUCUGAUUCCACCAUGCAACGUUUGAAGAGGCAAGCACGUCUGGAUCGCAAGUCAUUAAUAGCUUUGUACAUGGAACUGGAUGAAGAAAGAAGCGCUUCUGCUAUUGCAGCAAAUAAUGCAAUGGCCAUGAUCACAAGGUUGCAAGCAGAGAAAGCAUCAGUUCAGAUGGAAGCCUUACAGUAUCAGAGGAUGAUGGACGAGCAGGCUGAAUAUGACCAAGAAGAUUUGCAAGCAAUGAGGGAUUUGCUUGGCAAGAGAGAGGACGAAAUCAAAGCUUUAGAGGCUGAACUUGAGAUGUAUCAACCGAAAAAUGAAAGCAGCAAGAAAUUCACUGUUGAGGGAUGUGAUUCAAUUGAAAUACAGGGUGAUGAAUAUGACCAACAGUUGAAAUCUGAGUCCUUAAGUGAAAAAUCUGAAUGCAGCAGCCCUGCUUUUUGCUUCAAUGAAGUGGAGAAUAAUGGAGAACACCAGCAUAAAUAUGAUCAAACGAGGUCAUUGCAAGAAGAGAAUGGAGGGGAGACCAUUGACAAAUCAUCAGGGGAUUUUGAGGGCGAGAGAUCCAAUCUUCUAAAUCGGUUGAAAAAUAUGAAGAAGUUUCACUCAUCUGCACACAGUGGGAGGCAUUCCUUGCAGCUGAGCUUUGACAUGGUUAACGAUACAGAGGAAGGCACAGGUAACGACACAGGGGAUGCAUGCAAUGAUAUAAUAUCAAGAGAAGUGCCUCAUCUCCAUGAGAAAUUAAAAGCUCUUGAAGAAGAUGGUGGAUUCUUGAAUCAUGCUGCUCGGGCACUUGAGAAGGGAAGUGAAGGAAGAAACAUUUUGACACAGAUAGCUCACCAUCUGCAUAAGCUUCAAGACCUGGUGAAAAUUCCCUUGGAGGAUGAUUGCGAAUGAUUUUCACAAUAACCAUUUUGAUGGCAAAGUAGCAUUAAGAUCGAGCAACCGGGUAUGUCCCCAGAAACAUUUUUCACCUGCAAACCAUCCAAACAUCUAAGUUUAGCAGAAAAUGAUUGAUGAUAGACAUGGGGACAGCGCUUGAAGGGCGCCAGCAGAUUGUUGCAAGGUCGGGGAAGGCAGAAAGGGAGGCACAUACAAGUGUACAACUUCAUAGCGAUUGGGGUAAAACCUCAGAACCUCAGAGAGUGAAUAUUAGUUGCUGCUUCUAUUGGAACUGCUGCUUCUUGUAUGAAUCCAAAUUUUGAGUUAUAUUAAUCAUUAAAAUUUCUCCCACAAGUUGAGACUA